rnacentral:rRNA from 1 species
GACAGAGGGUGCAAACGUUGUUCGGAAUUACUGGGCGUAAAGCGCGUGUAGGCGGCCAUCUAAGUCGGGCGUGAAAUCCCACGGCUCAACCGUGGAAGUGCACUCGAAACUGGAUGGCUAGAGUCCUGGAGAGGAAGGUGGAAUGCUUGGUGUAGAGGUGAAAUUCGUAGAUAUCAAGCGGAACACCGGUGGCGAAGGCGGCCUUCUGGACAGUGACUGACGCUGAGACGCGAAAACGUGGGGAGCAAACAGG